AUAACUUGAAUUUAUUCAUGGUUCUCUUACAGCUAUAAAAUGUUCGUCUUACAUACCAAAUGGAGAGAUCACUGGGAUAUGUGACUUAACAAUAGGGGCGACAUGCAAUUUUACGUGCUACAGUGACUUUAAAGCAGCUGACCUAUUUACGAAUGUAACUUGCAACGCUAGUGGACACUGGAGCAUAACAAAUAAUCUAUGCCUUGAGCGAAUCAGUGUCACCACAGAAUCGUCGUCGUCAAAUGGAUUACCUGUGCCAGGUGUCGCUGCUGGAAUAGCGAUUUUGCUAUUAGCAGUCUUCUUGCUAAUUGUUGCUAAUAUAUUUCUGUUUCUAAGACAAAGACGCAACUUGUCACCAUCACUUAAACCACUCUUUCGCCAUAGUAGAAAUACCGCUUUUGAAAAUAAAGGUUACAGACACAAUACUGACCCCCCUGUCCAAACUACGGAUAUUGAUUUUUAUCAAAGUAUCAGCUUUUCUGACGGUGCUUCAUCCAGCGAUGAACGCAUUAUAGAUUCCAUGUACGACAAUGAGCCACUUCCUCAUGUUACACAAACAGAGAUGACGAACGACAAAGCAAGUACAUGAUUCAUGGCAGAAGAAAAAGAAAAAGCUUGAUAUGGACAAAUAUUAAAUAUGUUAUCACUGUGUUCAGUUUUCUUCUCAAAUAACUAACUCGAGGUUAUGUGUCAGGAGUCUAUGUAUGAAUGUUCCAGAACGGUAGAAGAACAAUCAGGAAGAAAACAUAUAAAAAAUUAAAUACUGUCUGUGUAUUUAUAGUUAUUCACUGCGGAUUAAAUGAUUACACAUAA